ensembl:misc_RNA 7SK 7SK RNA
GGAUGUGAGGGAGAUCUGACUGCGACAUCUGUCACCCCAUUGAUCGCCAGGGUUGAUUCGGCUCAUCUGGCAGGUGUCCCCUUCCUCCCUCACCGCUCCAGGUGCGUCUCUCCCAAAGCUGUGCGCUGGGUCAAAGAGGGCGGCCUUCCCUGAAUAGAGACGGACCGGUCUUCGGUAGAGGGUAUACAGCUGCGCUCCCCUGCUAGAACCUCCAAACAAGCUCUCAAAAAUAGUUUAUUUAAUCUUUUAGUACCAGAGGAACUGUGGAGGACAUACGUUAUAUCAAGGUAAUAAAAUCUUCAAUCAUAUAAGAGCAAGAGACCUGCUCAUUUAAC